rnacentral:rRNA from 1 species
UACGUAGGGUGCAAGCGUUAUCCGGAUUCACUGGGUUUAAAGGGUGCGUAGGUGGGCAGGUAAGUCAGUGGUGAAAUCUCCGGGCUUAACCCGGAAACUGCCAUUGAUACUAUCUGUCUUGAAUACCGUGGAGGUGAGCGGAAUAUGUCAUGUAGCGGUGAAAUGCUUAGAUAUGACAUAGAACACCAAUUGCGAAGGCAGCUCACUACACGAAUAUUGACACUGAGGCACGAAAGCGUGGGGAUCAAACAGG